rnacentral:lncRNA from 1 species
AAAUCAUAUUAUGAAAUAAAUAAAAAUGUUUUUAUUGUAAUAUCUUAAGUUAAUACAUUAACCUUGACAAACAUAAAAUAUUGUUUACAAAAAAACAUUCUCUCUCUCUCUCUCUCUCUCUCUCUCUCUUUAACGGACCCCUGUACAAGCGUACAACUGAUCUCAAAGCUUACACACAUGGACUAAAAAAGAUUUUCACAUUUUUUUGGGAUAUUUAAGAUGCACAUAUAGAGACAAUUAAUUAUUAUUAUUUGUACUUAAUAAUUCUCUCUCAUCUAAAUUAAAAUCUGCUUUUCUUUGCAGUCUCUCCACAUCGGAGUCCCAGUCUUGUUUUUGCAAAACCUCUGCAACAAUGGCACAAUUUGGCCAUCUGGUGGCAGUGUUGAGCCUUUGCCUGCUGGCUGCAGUGGUGAAUUCUCAACAGAACACCCCCCAACCUCCUCCUCGUUUAGGACAGGAGAUCUGCACACACUACACUCAGGGCGGGACCCUCCUCCUGGAUGGGCCGAAGGUCUUUGAAAUGAUGCUGAUUGAGUUUGGACGGGCAAUCCAGACCCUGAACCCUAUGGUGACUCAGCAGUGGAUGGAUGAAGUAGAUGAUGAUCACGACAAACGGCUGAACAUGGUGGAGUGUGCCAAUCUCGUCCAGAGAGUCUCUGAUUCCAUCCAGAGGCCUCCGCAAUAAAGUAGCCACAUCUACUGAUUGAAGUAACUUGUACUUGUGUACGGAAGUAGACCUAUGAAGAAAAAUACUAUUUAUCCAGCACUUAUUUAGCAGGUCUGUAGCUUAAUAAACACUGUAAGGCAUCACAAUGUUUUUUUUUUUAAUUUACUUUAAAACAUUAAAUGAAAGAAUGUUGAAAAUGAAAUUAAAGAAUGGAAAUAAAAAAAAUGGGUUAAAUUGUGUCCAUUGGUAAAGCUCAAUAAU